AGAGUUUGAUUAUGGCUCAGAACGUACGCUGGCGGCACGCCUAACACAUGCAAGUCGAACGCAGUAGCAAUACUGAGUGGCAAACGGGUGAGUAUAAUGUGGGAAUCUGCCUUUUGGUCUGGAAUAACACGAGGAAACUUGUGCUAAUACCGGAUAAGCCCUAACGGGGAAAGUUUUAAUGCCGAAAGAUGAGCCCGCACUUGAUUAGCUAGUUGGUAAGGUAAAAGCUUACCAAGGCAACGAUCAAUAGCUGUUCUUAGAGGAAGACCAGCCACAUUGGGACUGAGACACGGCCCAGACUCCUACGGGAGGCAGCAGUGGGGAAUCUUGCACAAUGGGGGAAACCCUGAUGCAGCGAUGCCGCGUGAGUGAAGAAGGCCCUUGGGUUGUAAAACUCUUUCGUCGGGGAAGAAAAUGACUGUACCCGAAUAAGAAGGUCCGGCUAACUUCGUGCCAGCAGCCGCGGUAAUACGAAGGGACCUAGCGUAGUUCGGAAUUACUGGGCUUAAAGAGCUCGUAGGUGGUUAAAAAAGUUGAUGGUGAAAUCCCAAGGCUCAACCUUGGAACUGCCAUCAAAACUUUUUAGCUAGAGUGUGAUAGAGGUAAGUGGAAUUUCUAGUGUAGAGGUGAAAUUCGUAGAUAUUAGAAAGAACACCAAAUGCGAAGGCAACUUACUGGGUCACUACUGACACUGAGGAGCGAAAGCAUGGGUAGCGAAGAGGAUUAGAUACCCUCGUAGUCCAUGCCGUAAACGAUGUGUGCUAGACGUUGGAAAUAUAUUUUUCAGUGUCGCAGCGAAAGCAUUAAGCACACCGCCUGGGGAGUACGACCGCAAGGUUAAAACUCAAAUGAAUUGACGGGGACCCGCACAAGCAGUGGAGCAUGUGGUUUAAUU
rnacentral:rRNA from 1 species